UACAGAGGUCUCAAGCGUUGUUCGGAUUCAUUGGGCGUAAAGGGUGCGUAGGCGGCGCGGUAAGUCGGGUGUGAAAUCUCGGAGCUUAACUCCGAAACUGCAUUCGAUACUGCCGUGCUUGAGGACUGGAGAGGAGACUGGAAUUUACGGUGUAGCGGUGAAAUGCGUAGAUAUCGUAAGGAAGACCAGGUGGCGAAGGCGGGUCUCUGGACAGUUC
rnacentral:rRNA from 1 species